rnacentral:rRNA from 1 species
UACGUAGGGUGCGAGCGUUGUCCGGAAUCACUGGGCGUAAAGGGCGCGUAGGUGGUGGCUUAAGCGUGCGGUGAAAGCUCGGGGCUCAACUCCGAGUCGGCCGUGCGAACUGGGCUCACUGGAGCAUAGUAGAGGCAGGUGGAAUUCCGGGUGUAGCGGUGGAAUGCGUAGAUAUCAGGAGGAACACCUGUGGUGUAGACAGCUUUCUGGACCAUUGCUGACGCUGAGACACGAAAGCGUGGGUAGCAAACAGG